UGACUAGAACGAGACUCACCUGUCUUUGUUGACUGCCCUGCCCCUCCCUGACUUCAGUGAUGAACAGGAGAUCCUCAACAGCUAUUACCUCAUGGCUGACACCUGCCUUAAGGACAGAUGGAGACCUGAGCCUUAAUCACUAGUCUGAGCUUCAGGCUAUCUUCCAUCACCCGAGGUAACGCUCACCCUGGGUGUCCAAGGGCCACCCUAGACCUACUCAGAGAUACUGCACAUGGCAAAUAGGAAAUGAGGAAGAUGGUGUGUGGGUUCCCACGUGCAUGGAGCUGGCCUCCUAUUCAAGUCUGAGGAGUUUAUCUGAACCUGAAACGCUUCUGAGGAACUGCUGUCAAAAGCAGCAGCCAUGGAGGUAGGCAGAGCUUUACAUUUCAGACUCUUUCCCUCUACAUAAGCAGUUUAACCUGCCAUGAUGAGAGAUGGGGAGCAGCUUGAUGCAAGCUAAGUUCCGUUUGUUGUACUUUCAGCAGUUGGGUACAUACCUUAACAUACAAGCUAAAGAUCAUGUCAAAUCCUAAUUGGUCAUCAAGACAGACCUCGAACCUUAGCAACUAGAUAAGCAAGGAUUAACAAAACCCACAAGUUCAUGCUUUAUAUUGUUUCAUCUGUUGCAACAUCCUCUGAGGUCAUUUCAACCCUCUAUUUUACUUAACUUUUCCACUUACGCAUUCUGAACCCAUGGCUUACGUUCCAGUAUGUCAAGAUCGAGCAGCUGUACAGCACUAAAAGUCCUACAGUUCCCAACAUUAACCCUUAGUUAUUGUUCUCACCACAAUUCUUCUGCAGGUGAGAUCCUGCUCUUGGACUAGCAGUUUGUCUCCUUUGACUUUUAUCAUAACUGGACUGUCAAUUAGAGACAGAGUUUGGCUUUCUUUACUGUGAAAUAUAAUUCUGUUAUCCCUACAACCACAUUCUACCCUAGGUGAUUUCCCCUUUGACUUUAAUCUUUUUUUAUUAUUAUUAUUUCAUUUAAUCCCAUGAAAUAAAGAGUAUUUCUUACUUGGAUAAGCUGGAUAGCCCUUUGGUCUAAAUGGAGUUCUUUCAUUUGGAGAUUCCUGAUAUGCUAAACCUCUGUGAAAGUUUGAUAAAAGGUAACUUUGAGGCUUUUAAUUAAUUAUGUACAAAAAGUUGACAGUACUCUACUGGGAGGUGUUCCUAAUAAUCCAUGCAUGUAAUAUAGUGGGAACAUUGUUUAUAAAUGUAAAUGAAUCGGAAGGUUUGUAACCUCGAAACAAAAGAAGAUGAGAAAUCAAAUCAUGGCUGGCAACCUCACAAUUAAAUGCUCUAAGAUUAAAUGACCUACUUGAAAGCUACAAUUUUAUCUUUGUUUUCCAGUAAGUAGAGGGAAAAAAUAAUCCUUGUAACAGCUGCUUUAUCUCUUACUGAGAGUGGAGCGAGGAAAUGUUGGUUUUAAUAUUUCAUAUCUCUCACAAAUGAAAAGACAAGCUCUCACAGUUGAGCCUGGCUGGGAAAUGCACAGCUCCUAUCAGGCCAAAGGAGAUGGGAGAGAAGAGGAAAGAAAAAGGAUAUGUCAGGAGCUGAGCAGUGGUGAAAGGAAAUUGAAAGUCAGGAGUAAGCUGAGAAAAAGGGGUCACAAGGAAAAGAAAGGCUGUAUCCAGGGAAAGGGUUAAGAAUAU